UAAGAGCGAAUGGUGGAUGCCUUGACUGGUAAAGGCGAUGAAGGACGUACUAGACUGCGAUAAGCUACGGGGAGCUGUCAAGAAGCUUUGAUCCGUAGAUUUCCGAAUGGGGCAACCCAAUGUAUAGAGAUAUACAUUACCUAUAUAGGAGCGAACGAGGGGAAUUGAAACAUCUUAGUACCCUCAGGAAAAGAAAUCAAUAGAGAUUGCGUCAGUAGCGGCGAGCGAAAGCGCAAGAGGGCAAACCCAGUGCUUGCACUGGGGGUUGUAGGACUGCAAUGUGCAAGAGGUGAGUUUAGCAGAACAUUCUGGAAAGUAUAGCCAUAGAGGGUGAUAGUCCCGUAUGCGAAAAACAAACCUUAGCUAGCAGUAUCCUGAGUAGGGCGGGACACGAGAAAUCCUGUCUGAAGCUGGGUCGACCACGAUCCAACCCUAAAUACUAAUACCAGAUCGAUAGUGCACAAGUACCGUGAGGGAAAGGUGAAAAGAACUGAGGUGAUCAGAGUGAAAUAGAACCUGAAACCAUUUGCUUACAAUCAUUCAGAGCCCUAUGUAGCAAUACAGGGUGAUGGACUGCCUUUUGCAUAAUGAGCCUGCGAGUUGUGGUGUCUGGCAAGGUUAAGCAAACGCGAAGCCGUAGCGAAAGCGAGUCUGAAUAGGGCGCUUAGUCAGAUGCUGCAGACCCGAAACGAAGUGAUCUAUCCAUGAGCAAGUUGAAGCUAGUGUAAGAACUAGUGGAGGACUGAACCCAUAGGCGUUGAAAAGCCCCGGGAUGACUUGUGGAUAGGGGUGAAAGGCCAAUCAAACUUCGUGAUAGCUGGUUCUCUCCGAAAUAUAUUUAGGUAUAGCGUUGUGUCGUAAUAUAAGGGGGUAGAGCACUGAAUGGGCUAGGGCAUACACCAAUGUACCAAACCCUAUCAAACUCCGAAUACCUUAUAUGUAAUCACAGCAGUCAGGCGGCGAGUGAUAAAAUCCGUCGUCAAGAGGGAAACAACCCAGACUACCAGCUAAGGUCCCUAAAUCUUACUUAAGUGGAAAACGAUGUGAAGUUACUUAAACAACCAGGAGGUUGGCUUAGAAGCAGCCAUCCUUUAAAGAAAGCGUAAUAGCUCACUGGUCUAGUGAUUUUGCGCGGAAAAUAUAACGGGGCUAAAGU
rnacentral:rRNA from 1 species